GAUGAACGCUGGCGGCGUGCCUAAUACAUGCAAGUCGAGCGAACAGACGAGGAGCUUGCUCCUCUAACGUUAGCGGCGGACGGGUGAGUAACACGUGGAUAACCUACCUAUAAGACUGGGAUAACUUCGGGAAACCGGAGCUAAUACCGGAUAAUAUAUUGAACCGCAUGGUUCAAUAGUGAAAGACGGUUUUGCUGUCACUUAUAGAUGGAUCCGCGCCGCAUUAGCUAGUUGGUAAGGUAACAGCUUACCAAGGCAACGAUGCGUAGCCGACCUGAGAGGGUGAUCGGCCACACUGGAACUGAGACACGGUCCAGACUCCUACGGGAGGCAGCAGUAGGGAAUCUUCCGCAAUGGGCGAAAGCCUGACGGAGCAACGCCGCGUGAGUGAUGAAGGUCUUCGGAUCGUAAAACUCUGUCAUUAGGGAAGAACAAAUGUGUAAGUAACUAUGCACGUCUUGACGGUACCUAAUCAGAAAGCCACGGCUAACUACGUG
rnacentral:rRNA from 1 species